rnacentral:rRNA from 1 species
ACGGAAGGCAGCAGUGGGGAAUAUUGGGCAAUGGGCGAAAGCCUGACCCAGCAACGCCGCGUGAAGGAAGAAGGUCUUCGGAUUGUAAACUUCUUUUAUAAGGGACGAAGAAAGUGACGGUACCUUAUGAAUAAGCCACGGCUAACUACGUGCCAGCAGCCGCGGUAAUACGUAGGGGACAAGCGUUAUCCGGAUUUACUGGGUGUAAAGGGCGCGUAGGCGGGAUGGCAAGUCAGAUGUGAAAUCCAUGGGCUCAACCCAUGAACUGCAUUUGAAACUGUCGUUCUUGAGUGUCGGAGAGGCAAGCGGAAUUCCUAGUGUAGCGGUGAAAUGCGUAGAUAUUAGGAGGAACACCAGUGGCGAAGGCGGCUUGCUGGACGAUAACUGACGCUGAGGCGCGAAAGCGUGGGGAGCAAACAGGAUUAGAUACCCUGGUA